rnacentral:rRNA from 1 species
GAUCAUGGCUCAGGAUGAACGCUAGCGGCAGGCUUAACACAUGCAAGUCGAGGGGUAGAAGCAGCUUGCUGCUUUGAGACCGGCGCACGGGUGCGUAACGCGUAUGCAAUCUACCUUUUACAGAGGGAUAGCCCAGAGAAAUUUGGAUUAAUGCCCCAUAGUGUUAUAGAAUCGCAUGGUUUUAUAACUAAAGUUCCAACGGUAUAAGAUGAGCAUGCGUCCCAUUAGUUAGUUGGUAAGGUAACGGCUUACCAAGACAAUGAUGGGUAGGGGUCCUGAGAGGGAGAUCCCCCACACUGGUACUGAGACACGGACCAGACUCCUACGGGAGGCAGCAGUGAGGAAUAUUGGUCAAUGGGCGCAAGCCUGAACCAGCCAUGCCGCGUGCAGGAAGACGGUCCUAUGGAUUGUAAACUGCUUUUAUACAGGAAGAAACCUCCCUACGUGUAGGGACUUGACGGUACUGUAGGAAUAAGGAUCGGCUAACUCCGUG